rnacentral:lncRNA from 1 species
AUGACACACUAUCAAUGACUGAAUGAGAUAAGUAUAUCCGACAAGAAUACCCCGUGCAUUCGUGGAGUUCGCCAGAGGGCAGCACUUGUAGCUGGCAACAUGAUAGCAGCGCCACCUAGGAGCAAUCAGUGACGCAUCUGCAUCGUCCAGUAGCAAGCGUGAUUGCCUUCUAGAAGCUACGGACGCAAUGCAAGACGUGGCGCGACCGUCUCACCCUGACAGAUUUCUCUCGCCAGUGCAACCGCGAGCGUACACAGGAGACUUGGCAUCUCAGCUGUUAUGACGCCGAUGAAGGGCGAAUGCGCGUCAUACCUGAAAAGAAGCAGGUGAGAACAGACAUGAGAAACACACCUGUCGUGAGUAGGAAUUGCGGACGGAUGAUAUGUUCGGCCACCACCGCGCUGCGAGCUAAUGUGUUUACGACACCGUGUGCUGCCGAGAGGUGCUGCCGUGUGCAGACGAACGCAGUUUCCUGUGGUCUAUGACGAGGAGAGAGGAGCGUGGAACA